rnacentral:rRNA from 1 species
UACGGAGGAUCCAAGCGUUAUCCGGAUUUAUUGGGUUUAAAGGGUGCGUAGGCGGAUUUUUAAGUCAGCGGUAAAAUGUCCGGGCUCAACCCGGGCCGGCCGUUGAAACUGUGUCCCUUGAGUGCGCGAAGGGUAGGCGGAAUGCGUGGUGUAGCGGUGAAAUGCAUAGAUAUCACGCAGAACUCCGAUCGCGAAGGCAGCCUACCGGCGCGCUACUGACGCUCAUGCACGAAAGCGUGGGUAUCGAACAGG